CCCGGACCCACCUCCCCUGCAGCCAUCCCGCACUCUUGAGGGGCCGGGCCCUGGCUGAGCGCUGUUCCUAGGCCCUGGAUGGCGGUGUGGAUCUCCGUCCUUGUCAGGGUAAUUUCCUCUUCUGUUUCCAGCAUUUCGAGUAAAUUCCUUUCUAAUCAUUAGGUGCCCUAGAGAGGACAGAUGCAUGGCUGUGGAGUCUUGUUCUGUGAUAUGUCAGUUUACUUGACGCACGUUCAAAACUGCAAAAUGCUGGUUCCUACCCGUCUCUGAUGUCACCAAAGGCUGCCCAGAGGCCUGCAGCACAUUGACGAUGGUCUUAGUAUUACACAGCUGUCUGACCAGUACCACAAAUCCAGAGUCCAAGCAGCUCAGGUUUGCCUUCUCCCUGUCUGUGUGGGUCCAGCGCCCUGGGCUCAGCAGGGCCUCCUGCUCCUGCUCCUGUAGGGUGGGCUGGGCCUUCCCACACGGGCCUGGGGAGGAGCCUCUCCUAGGUGCUGGCAGGGCCCUGGCCUUUACUUAUUCCCUCUGAUGCCAGCCAGCUACUGCAGCCCUGGUGGCGUCUCCCUGGGGGUGCCCGGGUGCAGGUGUCCGCUGCCGGGCCGUGGGUGUCUCAUUCUGUGUCCGGACCUCUCUGUGAUGUGAACCUUGGGCUUUUUUUUUUUUUUUUUUUUUUUUUCAGAUGUUAAGGGAGUCCACCACAUGUUUCCAUGUUUUACUGUUCCUGGAACUGAAUUUGUUUGUGAUGUGAGUCAGAAAUCCUGUCACAUUUUUCCACGUGGAUAUCCAGGGCCCCCGCCGUUUGUGGGAAGGCCGCACCUUCUGCCCGCUCUGCUGUCCAUCCGCGUGCCCAUCUCCAUGGGUUUCUCUCUGCACGGCUUGUUCUGUCCUGCAUGUCCAUCCUUGAGAUCGUUUUUCUCUGGCUUAAUGAUUACAGCUGUACGUUUCAUUUUCAUGGCUGGGAUCUGCAGGACGAGCUUACAUAUAGGUCCUUGCUGAUUUUUUUGCCUGCCUUUUCCAUUAGUUCCUGAGACAAGCAUUUUAAAACCAAACAACAUAACUGAGGAGCUGUCUGUCACCCUUCGUGAUUCUGAAAACACGUGCUGCAUGUGUUUUGAGCAUAAAAUUGGAUGUUCCUUUGAAACAACAGCAGUCAGAAGUCCAUGAGGAGGUGUCUUCUGACUGCGAGGAUAAGGGUGGAUCACCUUAAUGCAAUCAGGGAAUGAUGUGUUAGAAGCAUCUAUAGUUCCUGCUUCCCCUAAUUUCUAGCUGUAGCCAUUUGAAGAUUCUAAGCAAGUCCUCAACUGUUCAGCAGAGCCUCUGGUCCAGCAUGAGACCAAAACCCAGGUAUUGUUUCUCUGCUCCUUUGAGACUUCAGAAACCUCUGCUGUGGUUUUCAGUGUCUCAGAAUUGGCCAUCAUCUCUAUCAAAACAGCCUCAGCGGCUGAGCUCCUCGCCCCGUCUCCUUCCCCACAUAGGAGCUGGUCUCGCCCUUGGCCCUCCUAACUCUCCAGCGUGUCCAGCCUGACUGGGAGAAACGUCCUGUUCAGGCUCCCAGUUUCUCCGCCUGUGCUGAGACCUUGUUUCCCAGGACCUCGGUGGACUUGGCUUUCAUGACUGGUGCCUCACCCCAGCACAUGUGCCUAAAAUAACAGAAAAAUACAGUGCCUGCAUGUUGGGAGCAAGCCCCCCAAAGUCUGGCCCCAAAACUGGCCAUAAAUAAAAUCUCUGCAGCAAUGUAACAUGUCCAUAAUGGCCAUAAAGCCCAAGCUGGAAGGUUGUGGGUUUACAGGAAUGACGGUAAGGAACACCUGGCCCGCUCAGGGCGGAAAACUGGUUAAAGGCAUUUUUAAGCCAUAAACAAUUAGCCUGAGCGAUCUGUGCCUUAAGGGCGUGUUCCUGCUGCAAUUAAUUCAGCCCAUCCCUUCGUUUCCCUUAAGGGAUACUUUCAGUUAAUUUAAUAUCCAUAGAAACAAUGCUAAUGACUGGUUUGCUGUUAAUAAAUAUGUGGGUAAAUCUCUGUUCGGGGCUCUCAGCUCUGAAGGCUGUGAGACCCCUGAUAUCCCACUUUACACCUCUGUAU
rnacentral:lncRNA from 1 species